CUUUCUUCCUGCUUUUGAGCUGAGCCCAACCACAGACAAACCGUGGAAAUGGAAAUGGGAACAUACAGAUGCAAUGCUUUUUCUUUUUCAAAUAUUUGACCUGAUAAGCAAAGCUGCUCCACUGGGAGGAUUAAAGCACAACAAAUGGAUUUCUGCUUGGGAAAGUGAUGGGUAAAACAACAUGCUAGAAGAGCUCCAGAGUUGCUUUCCUAAAACUGCGCUGGCUGUUCCUCUAACUCACAUGCUUGCUGAGUUUGAACUACUCAGGUCUUCUACAAUUCAGCCUCCAAGAAGCUGAAGAGUCUCCCUCCAGCCACAAAAAAAGCCUUAAGCACACACUUAAAUGUAACCAGAGGAGGAAACCCACGGAGAGAUUAAGUGACUUGCCUAAGGUCAUAAGUGCCAGAGUCAAGAAG